rnacentral:rRNA from 1 species
AGUGAACGCUGGCGGUAGGCCUAACACAUGCAAGUCGAACGGCAGCACAGUAAGAGCUUGCUCUUACGGGUGGCGAGUGGCGGACGGGUGAGGAAUACAUCGGAAUCUACUUUUUCGUGGGGGAUAACGUAGGGAAACUUACGCUAAUACCGCAUACGACCUACGGGUGAAAGCAGGGGAUCUUCGGACCUUGCGCGAUUGAAUGAGCCGAUGUCGGAUUAGCUAGUUGGCGGGGUAAAGGCCCACCAAGGCGACGAUCCGUAGCUGGUCUGAGAGGAUGAUCAGCCACACUGGAACUGAGACACGGUCCAGACUCCUACGGGAGGCAGCAGUGGGGAAUAUUGGACAAUGGGCGCAAGCCUGAGCCAGCCAUACCGCGUGAGUGAAGAAGGCCUUCGGGUUGUAAAGCCCUUUUGUUAGGAAAGAAAAGCAGCAGGUUAAUACCCCGCUGUUCUGACGGUACCCAAAGAAUAAGCACCGGCUAACUUCGUG